CUUAUCGCUGAAUAAAGGCAUUGAAAGUUAUGGUUACAAGUACAAAUAACUGUCUAGAAAGGGGGCAAACACUUCAUUACUAACCAUUCACAUCAUGGUUUAUUUAACAGGACUCAAAGGAGAUAGGAGAUUCCAGGAUAAAGAAUAUAUAUUAAUCACACUUUAGAGUACAGUGAAGACUUUCACAAGCAUUAUCUUGAUCCUUAGAGCAAUGCAGAGGGCCUUAUGAUUAUCACUCUCUUACAGGAGGAAGGCUAAAGUGUUCUCUGAAGCUGGACUCCUUUGGGAAUUCAGAGCUUUCCUGGCUCACCCCCCACGCACAGUGCACACGCACUUAGCAGUUUGUACACCAUGACCAGAGAUGCACAGAUCCAAGGCUGCCCAUCUAAGAACCUCAGCUGGAAAACCCAGGACCCAGAAUGAGUCUGGGUGACCACGCCUCACCCCUUUCCCUCAGACCUCUCUGGGAAGAACAAGAGACUGAGCAAGGCCACCCCCUGUCCUACCCCCAACUCAGAUCACGUCUCUAGUAUACAAUGUUAAAAUAAAUCACUGUUAAAAAAAUUACUGGGAGGA
rnacentral:lncRNA from 1 species